AGCAGGUUCUCUCUGAGGCCCACACUCUUUGGCUGGCUGCCUCACAUCCCCACCCUCUGGUCUUAAAAUGGAAACAGUGGGCCCUUGGGGUAUGCCUGAUGCUGGGAAUUUCUGCCUCAUCAGAACAGCAGGUUGUGUGCCCCAAAGAGACCUAUAGGGAGGGGGACAUAGCAAGUAAGACUGUAGUUUUUCUCUCAGACAUAUCCUCCAGUGAAGAUUAAAGAAAAAAAAAGAGGAGGAAACACAGAGAUACACUGAGAAGAAGGCCAUAUGAAGAUGGAGGCAGAGUUGGAGUGACACAUCUACAAGCCAACGAACACCAAGGACUACUUCUAGAGGCAAGAAGUAUCCUGCCCUACAUGCUUUGGAGGGAGUAUGUCCUGGCGAAACCUUGAUUUUGAACUUGAAGCCUACAGAACUCCAUGGGAAUACAUUUCU